ACCCUCCAGAUUCUUUAUCCUUCUGAGCUCAACCUUGGUCUGAGCGGCUAUAAAAGGAGGCAAAGUAAAGCUGAAGUGGACUUGGUUCCUUAGUGACACACAGGUUUGUCUCAAACAGUA
rnacentral:snoRNA from 1 species